GUUGUCAUAGACCUUAUGUAAGUGAAAUGUUAAAUAUAACAAAUUUCAAAGAAGAGUACCGUUACGAUGAGGAGAUACACUUUCAUUGCGAGUCCGGCUUCCGCCUUCGCGGAAUCACCAGUGCCGUGUGCGGCGAUACCAACAGAUUUAAUAUUACAGUACUUCCUACUUGCGUAGAAGACACAGCUGCACCUAGACUUUGUUCUGUAUCCAGUGCCACGAUUGGAGUGUUUGUAGGAAGCAGCUUCGCUUUCGUGCUCAUUCUUUUUAUUUUAAUAACAUUCCUUAAAAGGAGAAAAUCCCCUACAAAAGAAACCAAUUACGAAAAGACAAAUAUACCUGUUCUAGAACAACAUCAUUACACAGACAUAAACCCACAAAGGGAAUCAACACAGGAAAACAAACCAUAUAGUAACAUGAAUUUUUGACAUAAGUUAGAGAACGAAGUUAUCUGGUUGACGAUUCUAUUCCAUCGUUAAGAUAAAAGUGGUUCGCCAGCACUACUCGGAGAAGGAUAUAUCAAUAAAUUUGGUUUGAACUUAGGAAUAAUAUACAGUUUGGCUCGUGUUCUGAGACGAGUAAGGACACGUGCCUUCUUGAUAUGAACAUUAAUGUCGUUUUAUAUAACAUGUAUAAUUAAUGAGACAUUUUAUGAAAUUAAAAUUUUGUGUCAUCAAUGUC